UCACACAUUCCCACCAGGGUUUCAGGGUUC
rnacentral:piRNA from 1 species